UAGAUAUUUCAGGUUGUGUGGA
rnacentral:miRNA from 1 species